GACGAACGCUGGCGGCGUGCUUAACACAUGCAAGUCGAGCGGUAAGGCCCUUUCGGGGGUACACGAGCGGCGAACGGGUGAGUAACACGUGGGUGACCUGCCCUCAGCUCUGGGAUAAGCCUGGGAAACUGGGUCUAAUACUGGAUAUGACUCCACGGUGCAUGUCGUGGGGUGGAAAGCCUUGUGCGGCUGAGGAUGGGCCCGCGGCCUAUCAGCUUGUUGGUGGGGUGANGGCCUACCAAGGCGACGACGGGUAGCCGGCCUGAGAGGGCGACCGGCCACACUGGGACUGAGACACGGCCCAGACUCCUACGGGAGGCAGCAGUGGGGAGUCUUGCGCAAUGGGCGAAAGCCUGACGCAGCGACGCCGCGUGAGGGAUGACGGCCU
rnacentral:rRNA from 1 species